CCUACGGGAGGCAGCAGUGGGGGAUAUUGCACAAUGGGGGGAACCCUGAUGCAGCGACGCCGCGUGGGUGAAGGAGCGUUUCGGCGCGUAAAGCCCUAUCGGCAGGGAAGAAGAUGACGGUACCUGACCAAGAAGCCGCGGCUAACGACGGGCCAGCAGCCGCGGGAAUACGUAGGGGGCAAGCGUGAGCCGGAGUUACUGGGUGGAAAGGGGGCGCAGACGGGACUGCAAGCCAGGAGUGAAAGCCCGGGGCCCAACCCCGGGUCUGCUCGUGGAACGGCCGGGCGGGAGUACAGGAGGGGCAGGCGGACUUCCUAGUGUAGCAGUGAAAUGCGUCGAUAUUAGGAGGAACACCGGUGGCGACGGCGGCCUGCUGGACUGUGCCUGCCGUUGAGGCCCGACUGCGUGGGGAGCAAACAGGAUUAGAUACCCCAGUAGUC
rnacentral:rRNA from 1 species